rnacentral:rRNA from 1 species
UACGUAGGUGGCAAGCGUUGUCCGGAUUUACUGGGCGUAAAGAGCGCGCAGGCGGUCGGAUAAGUCGAAUGUGAAAGCCCCCGGCUCAACUGGGGAGGGUCAUUCGAUACUGUUCGACUCGAAGGCAGGAGAGGGAAGUGGAAUUCCCGGUGUAGUGGUGAAAUGCGUAGAUAUCGGGAGGAACACCAGUGGCGAAGGCGGCUCUCUGGGACGGUACUGACGCUGAGACGCGAAAGCGUGGGGAGCGAACAGG